AAUAUUGGACAAUGGGCGAAAGCCUGAUCCAGCCAUGCCGCGUGUGUGAAGAAGGUCUUCGGAUUGUAAAGCACUUUAAGUUGGGAGGAAGGGCAGUAAGUUAAUACCUUGCUGUUUUGACGUUACCGACAGAAUAAGCACCGGCUAACUUCGGGCCAGCAGCCGCGGUAAUAGGAAGGGUGCAAGCGUUAAUCGGAAUUACUGGGCGUAAAGCGCGCGUUGGUGGUUUGUUAAAUUGGAAGUGAAAGCCCCGGGCUCAACCUGGGAACUGCUUUCAAAACUGGCAGGCUAGAGUAUGGCAGAGGGUGGUGGAAUGUCCUGUGUAGCGGUGGAAUGCGUAAAUAUAGGAAGGAAAACCAGUGGCGAAAGCGACCACCUGGGCUAAUACUGAAACUGAGGUGAGAAAGCGUGGGGAGCAAAC
rnacentral:rRNA from 1 species